GAAUAUUGGACAAUGGGGGAAACCCUGAUCCAGCAAUGCCGCGUGAGUGAUGAAGGCCUUAGGGUUGUAAAGCUCUUUCGGCGGGGAAGAUGAUGACGGUACCCGCAGAAGAAGCCCCGGCUAACUUCGUGCCAGCAGCCGCGGUAAUACGAAGGGGGCUAGCGUUGUUCGGAAUUACUGGGCGUAAAGGGCGCGUAGGCGGCCACCGCAAGUCGACUGUGAAAUCUCCGGGCUUAACCCGGAAAGGUCAGCCGAUACUGCGGGGCUAGAGUGCAGAAGGGGCAACUGGAAUUCUCGGUGUAGCGGUGAAAUGCGUAGAUAUCGAGAGGAACACCUGCGGCGAAGGCGGGUUGCUGGGCUGACACUGACGCUGAGGCGCGAAAGCUAGGGGAGCGAACGGG
rnacentral:rRNA from 1 species